rnacentral:rRNA from 1 species
UACGAAGGGUGCAAGCGUUACUCGGAAUUACUGGGCGUAAAGGGUGCGUAGGUGGUUUGUUAAGUCUGCUGUGAAAUCCCCGGGCUCAACCUGGGAAUGGCAGUGGAUACUGGCAAGCUAGAGUGCGGUAGAGGGUAGUGGAAUUCCCGGUGUAGCAGUGAAAUGCGUAGAGAUCGGGAGGAACACCAGUGGCGAAAGCGGCUUCCUGGUCCAGCACCGACGUUCAGGCACGAAAGCGUGGGGAGCAAACAGG